rnacentral:rRNA from 1 species
UACGUAGGGAGCGAGCGUUGUCCGGAUUUACUGGGUGUAAAGGGUGCGUAGGCGGUUUUGCAAGUCAGAAGUGAAAUCCAUGGGCUUAACCCAUGAACUGCUUUUGAAACUGCAGGACUUGAGUGAAGUAGAGGUAGGCGGAAUGCGUGGUGUAGCGGUGAAAUGCAUAGAUAUCACGCAGAACUCCGAUUGCGAAGGCAGCUUACUGGGCUUUAACUGACGCUGAGGCACGAAAGCGUGGGUAGCAA